rnacentral:rRNA from 1 species
GGCUUUUUGUUUAUAAUUUAAGGUCUGGCCUGCCCACUGAAAAUUUAAAGGGCCGUGGUAUUUUGACCGUGCUAAGGUAGCAUAAUCAUUAGUUUUUUAAUUGAAAACCNGAAUGAAGGGUUAGAUAAGAAAAGGACUGUCUCUGUUUAAUUUUAUUAGAAUUUUAUUUUUAAGUUAAAAAGCUUAAAUAAGUUUAAAAGACGAGAAGACCCUAUAGAGUUUUAUUAUUUUAUUAAUUAUAUAUUUUAGGAUUAAAUUGUUUAAUUAGUAUGAUAAUUUAAUUGGGGUGAUUGAAAAAUUAAAAUAACUUUUUUUUUAUUUUUACAUUGAUUUAUGAAUUUUUGAUCCAAUAAUUUUGAUUAUAAGAUUAAAUUACCUUAGGGAUAACAGCGUAAUUUUUUUUGAAAGUUCUUAUUGAAAAAAAAGAUUGCGACCUCGAUGUUGGAUUAAAAUUAAAUUUUGGUGUAGAAGCUAAAAGUUUAGGUCUGUUCGACCUUUAAAAUUUUACA